rnacentral:rRNA from 1 species
ACCUCAAAUCAGGCAAGAAUACCCGCUGAACUUAAGCAUAUCAAUAAGCGGAGGAAAAGAAACUAACAAGGAUUCCCCUAGUAACGGCGAGUGAAGAGGGAAGAGCUCAAAUUUUAAAUCUGCCUUGUUUCAAGGUCGAGUUGUAAUUUGAAGAAGCGUUUUCUUGGGCUCGCGGCCGGUAGAAGUUCUUUGGAACAGGACAUCAUAGAGGGUGACAAUCCCGUCUGCGACCGGUCGUGUGUUCGUCUACGAUACGCUUUCAAAGAGUCGAGUUGUUUGGGAUUGCAGCUCCAAAUGGGUGGUAAACAUCACCUAAGGCUAAAUAUUGGCGAGAGACCGAUAGCGAACAAGUACCGUGAGGGAAAGAUGAAAAGAACUUUGAAAAGAGAGUUAAAUAGUACGUGAAAUUGUUGAAAGGGAAACGAUUGAAGUCAGUCGUGCUGGCGCGAAAUCAACCCUCUCGUCGAGAGGUCACACGGCGUGGCGAGCCUCAAAACCGUCACGAAGCGUGAACUCUUGGCGAAAAGGAGCACUUUCGUGUCCGCUGGUUAACAUCAAUUUCGAACGUCAUAAAAAGGCUGGAGGGAUGUGGCUCCUUCGGGAGUGUUAUAACCUUUAGCGGAAUGUGGUGGUCGGGAUUGAGGAUUGCAACGAAUACCUUUAGGGCUGUUCCACCUGGCUUCUCUUUGGUAUCCUGGUGACGACAGCUUGCUGACGUUGUUAGGAUUCGCCUUUGAACAGGCUAGAGUGUGAGCAAAUUCGUUAAGGAUGUUAACGUAAU